rnacentral:rRNA from 1 species
CACGGAGUUAGCCGGUGCUUCUUCUGCGGGUAACGUCAAUUGACAAGGGUAUUAACCUUAUCACCUUCCUCCCCGCUGAAAGUACUUUACAACCCUAAGGCCUUCUUCAUACACGCGGCAUGGCUGCAUCAGGCUUGCGCCCAUUGUGCAAUAUUCCCCACUGCUGCCUCCCGUAGGAGUCUGGGCCGUGUCUCAGUCCCAGUGUGGCUGAUCAUCCUCUCAGACCAGCUAGAGAUCGUCGCCUAGGUGAGCCUUUACCCCACCUACUAGCUAAUCCCAUAUGGGUUCAUCCGAUAGUGCAAGGUCCGAAGAGCCCCUGCUUUGGUCCGUAGACAUUAUGCGGUAUUAGCCACCGUUUCCAGUAGUUACUCCCCCUCUAUCGGGCAGACUCCCCAUACAUUACUCCACCCGUCCGCCGCUCGUCAGACAAGAAAGCAAGUCUUUCUCCUCGUUACCGCUCGACUUGCUAUGUGUUACGGCCUGCCGCCAGUCCGUUCAA